AAAAACUUAUGAGUUUAUGCUUGGAUUACAAUUUUAUUAAAUUUAAAAAUCUGUAUUUUAAACAAACUAAAGGGAUCGCGAUGGGAAAUGCAGCAUCGGUGAGCGUGGCAAAUAUUACUGCGGAGUGUGAAUUGUCUCCACUAUUUGAUAAUUGUGAAUAUAUAUUUUUCCAUGCUAGAUUUGUAGAUGAUGGUUUCAUGAUUAUUGAUUCCACUGAUAUUGUUGAUUUCAACGUAUGGUGCAUGAAUAUUUUUUCACAUAGUAAUCUUAAAUUUACACUAAACCAUAGUACAACCGAUAUUUGCUUUUUAGAUGUUAAUGUAAGUUUAUCAAACAAUAAGCUUUCUACAACUUUAUAUAAGAAACCAAUGUCACGCCCAUUAUAUGCUCACUAUCUUUCUAAUUUACCUAAACAACUUCUGAAUUCAUUACCGUAUAGUCAAGGAUUACGAAUUAUAAAAAUUUGUUCCGAAAUUGAGGACAGAGAAACGGAGAUUGAAAUCUUGCUGAAUACAUUUCAUAACCGUUGUUAUCCUAAUGAUUGUAUAGAUAAUACGCGACAAAGAUUAGCUCAAAUAUCAAGACUAGAUUUAUUAACUAAGUGUAAAAAUUUAAUUAUAGAUAAUUUAAAAUUACACCACCCAGAAAUUCUUUGUAAUAUGAAGGUCAAAACUGAAACUCAUGAUUCCAUUUUACAUAGAUCGUAUGUUGUAAUGCCAUAUUACAAAUCUUUACCAACUCUAAAUAGUCUCACCAUUGAGUUUAUUAUGAAAGAAAGUGAUCGUAUAUAUACACACAUGUUGCAUACGCUCAAUGUUAAAGUAAGUUACAGAAAGAUAAACUCACUUACGAGGCAAGUAUGUAAUAAUAUUUAGUAUGUAAUAUGUAUAUGUACAUAUCAUCACCGAGGACGCCAACUUCUGCCCAACAAACUACUCCGUCUUUUUACUUUGACACAAUCACAUGGAUUUUUAGUCUUUCCAAUUCUAAAUAAAUACUACUAAAUAUAUUUUUAUAAAUAUUUUUAAGAAAAACUCCCUGUUUCAGGGAUGAACUUGAACUAUUUUAUAUAGUAGAGAUCUUCAUUUAUUAAAUUUACCACUUUGUAAAGCCUGAUGAAAGAUUAUGAAACCGGUCGCUACUGCAAAAUUACUUCAAUAAACAAAUCUUUCCAUUA